CCUACGGGAGGCAGCAGUGGGGAAUAUUGCACAAUGGGGGAAACCCUGAUGCAGCGACGCCGCGUGAGGGAUGAAGUAUUUCGGUAUGUAAACCUCUAUCAGCAGGGAAGAAAAUGACGGUACCUGACUAAGAAGCCCCGGCUAACUACGUGCCACCAGCCGCGGUAAUACGUAGGGGGCAAGCGUUAUCCGGAUUUACUGGGUGUAAAGGGAGCGUAGACGGUGUAGCAAGUCUGAUGUGAAAAGCCGGGGCUCAACCCCGGGACUGGAGUGGAAACUGGUGAACUGGAGUACCGGAGAGGAAAGUGGAAUUCCUAGUGUAGCGGUGAAAUGCGUAGAUAUUAGGAGGAACACCAGUGGCGAAGGCGGCUUGCUGGACUGUAACUGACGUUGAGGCUCGAAAGCGUGGGGAGCAAACAGGAUUAGAUACCCGAGUAGUC
rnacentral:rRNA from 1 species